CGGUCAGACGUGAAUUAGCGGCCUACUCAGUACUCAAUACUCAACGAACAAGUUGUUGCUUGUCGCGUCCUGCUAUUUAAUAUAAUAUUUUACAUGAACUAAUAAGUAUAACUAACUUUAAGUAUCUUUAAUGCGUAUUCGUGCUCUGGUACACUAGAUUCCAUAUUUCUAUAGACCACGGAAUAUAAUUUACCGCAUCUACAGAUACGUAUAAUACCUACUAACUGAAGUUAACUACAAAACAAAAUAAUAGGUUGCAAACCAAGUGAAUAACAUUUUGGGAAGUACGACAAAUUUGAUAUUAUUUGCAGUUAUAAUAGUAAUUACAAAUUGAUACAACAUAGUAAAAGAGAUGGAUUCUGUAAAACAUGUUAUACCAUGGAUAAGUGGCCAAAAGGAAGUUCUGAAAUCCAACUGAUGUGAAUCUAAAUUAUAUAUAAACAGCUGUCAUACUCCCAGUUUAAUUCAAGUCCUACAAAGUCUACACAGAGAUGGAGUGUUAUGUGCUAUUAAGUUAGAAACAGAAGACGGUGUAAUAGUGUAUGUACAUAAAGUUGUUUUAGUAUCAGCUAGUCCAUACUUCCGUGCAAUGUUCACCAGUUUUGCCAAAAGGGAUGGAGAUGUUGUAAAUUUAGACAAUUCUUUGAAACAUUUGCUUGUGGUGAAGAAAUGCAACACAAUAUGGAUUUUUAUAUGGUAUUUUCGGUAUACCUACCAUAGGUAAUACAAAUUAAAAAAAUAAAAAGGUGGGCAAGAGGGCACUGUUCUGCUUUACGCAUUAGGAGUCUAGAAGGUCACAGUAAUGGAUUGUGUUAAAUUUGAAUUCAAUGUAUAUCAUUUCACUAUUGAAGAUAGUAUAUUGUUAUACUAUUCUUAAGUUCAAUUUAUGUUAUAUUAUUUGUCCAGAUAGUUGUUUCAAAUUAGUGUUUAUUCCAAAAUAAAUAAAUUUAUAUAUAUUCAUUGUAUAAGAAUAACUAUUCAGAGCGAAGGCGUUUAGUCAGUUUAAAUAAUCAUAAUUAUAUUUUGAAAUUUUUUAUAACUAAAAUCGUUAUUCUCUGUUUAAAAUAUAUCUAAUUUAGUUUAUAUUUGAGCUUAAAAUAUCUAUUAAAAAGACUGUUUAUAUAAUAUAAAUAAUUAUUUUUUAAAUUUUUGUUUUCACACUAAAAUAGGUACUUAUGAGAAAUCUUGUUUUAAAUUUUCAAUUCUUAAACUAAGCUUUUAAAAUGCUUCUGAAGCAAAACCAUGGCUGUUUUUUUAUAAGAAAUCAUUGAUUUACAAUUUGAAGAAAAAUGUUCAUGAAUUUUCAACUAAACUGUUAUUUUCUUUAUUGAAUCGACUAAAAACAAUUGUAAUUACAUAAACAAGACUAAAUGAUUUAAACCCUAGUUAUUUUAUAUUAUAAUCAAAAUUAUUUAAAUUCAUUAUUAUCGUUUAUUUGUUUAAGUUUUGUUUCCAGCUGCUAAUCUCUUACAGUUGAAUCAUGUAAAAUGUGUAUCUGUUGACUUUUUACAAAAACAUCUGAAUCCUUCAAAUUGUUUUGGUAUUAAAGGAUUUGCUGACUUUUAUAACUGCAUGGAAUUGUCUUCAAGUUCUGAAGAAUACAUAUAAACAAAUUUUUUAAAACUGGUUGAAGCUGGUGAAUUCCUAUCUUUGUCUUCUGAAGAAAUGAUAAAUCUAAUCUCUCGUGAUGACAUUAACGGUCUAUUUGAAGAAAAAUGCAGAGGUUUUUGACAGGAGUAUUCAAGAAUGGCGAUUAAUAUCUAAUAUGUCUACUGAGAGAGGGGACCCUGGUUUGAAUGCUAUAAUCCCAGCCUUGACACGUGGACACCAGUCACACAAAUGUCUACAAAACGCCGUGCCCCUGUUAUAGGAGUCUUAGACGGUGUAAUGUAUGCUAUUGGUGGUGCCUGUCAGGAACUCGGAAGUUCAGUGUAUCUUAAAAGUGUUGAGACCUAUUCACCAAUUACUAAAGUUUUGUCUCCUAUCAAAGAUAUGCACUUGUCCAGAUUCAAUUCAAGUGUUGUGACAUUUAAGGGUUCGUUCUAUGUUAUUGGCGGAUCUGAUGAAUUUUUGGAUUCUGUAGAAACCUAUGACCUUAAAACCAAUACCUGGAUCUUGGAACCAUGGCCGAAAAGUUUAGUGAAUGUUUAUGGGGCAGUAAUAUUCGAUAUGCCAUCACAUUUGAGAAUAUAUUAGCUUAUGCAUGGUCUCCUUGUUGGUUGUUGUAUAUAUUAUAUUCAUAUUAAUUUAUAAUUCAUGAACACGUGUUAAGUAUUUUAUACAUUUUUGAUUUUGUGAAUUUUGUAUUAAGCCACUUUGAUCGCCACUGGACGUCAAUGUUUUAAUAUAAGUUUUAGCUUAUUAUAAUUAAUUUAUUUGUUUAUUUGUGUACGCCUGUGAUCGGUGUAUACGACAGAAUGUUUGAAUAAAAUGGUUUUAAAUAAUUUAAAUGGUGUAGUAUAUUAUCUC